GGCGCAGCUGACCAGCGACGCCGCGUGAGGGAUGAAGGCCUUCGGGUUGUAAACCUCUUUCAGUAGGGAAGAAGCGAAAGUGACGGUACCUAAAGAUGAAGCACCGGCUAACUAUGUGCCAGCAGCCGCGGUAAUACAUAGGGUGCAAGCGUUGUCCGGAAUUAUUGGGCGUAAAGAGCUCGUAGGUUGUUUGACACGUCGAUUGUGAAAAUCUGAGGCUCAACCUCAGACCUGCAGUCGAUACGGUCAAACUAGAGUGUGGUAGGGGAGACUGGAAUUCCCGGUGUAGCGGUGGAAUGCGCAGAUAUCAGGAGGAACACCAAUGGCGAAGGCAGGUCUCUGGGCCAUAACUGACACUGAGGAGCGAAAGCGCGGGGAGCGAACAGGAUUAGAUACCCUGGUAGUCCGCGCCGUAAACGGUGGGCACUAGCUGUGGGUCCCUUCCACGGGCAUCCGCGACGCAGCAAACGCAUUAAGUGCCCCGCCUGGGGAGUACGAUCGCAAGAUUAAAACUCAAAGGAAUUGACGGGGCCCCGCACAAGCAGCGGAGCAUGCGGCUUAAUUCGACGCAACGCGAAGAACCUUACCAAGGCUUGACAUAUAGCGAAAAGUGGCAGAGAUGUCAUGUCCGCAAGGGCGCUAUACAGGUGGUGCAUGGUUGUCGUCAGCUCGUGUCGUGAGAUGUGGGUUAAGCCCGCAAGAGCGCAACUUCUUCUGGUUACAGCAUCCGUUGGGGUCCCGGGAUGCGGGUCACUCGAGAAGGGGGUGGCUAAUUUAUCCCUUUUUUGGUUACGUUCUCUGCCGGAAUCUGAUUCAAGGAGCAUACGGGGGGUGGUGACCC
rnacentral:rRNA from 1 species